CCUUCCAGUCCAGGACAUUCUGUUACCCUCCGUUGAGCUGAACUUAGACAUGAAUGGCACUUAGGUACAUGCUGUCCUGAAAUUACAUACUUUCCUGAAUCAGAGCCCAGGAAAAACACCUGCAGCAUGGAACAGCCCUGGAAAAGUUAAAUAGGAGCCUGUGUGCUGUGAUGUGCUGUGGUGAGCAUACACUCAAGAAAUGCACAUCAGGUAACAUGCAUCUGGUGUAGUGGUGGGAGUCUGCUCUGCUAAUAAAAUACUGAAUAUGUAAAUCCCUCCACUUCUUAUAACCAAUGCUUUAGGUUGCAUUUACUGUAAACAAAGAUGUAUUUUUGAGGGCAGUUGGUUUGAGUUUAUUGUUUAUGUAAAUCUCUCAGAAUGUGACAUAGCCAGAUAGCUUCCUAUGUUGUGCUGAUCCACAUUUUAGGCCAGCAGCCAAAGUAUUUUAUCUUUUACUUCAUUAUAGUGAUCUUCCAAUUAGCUGUGGUCUGUAAUACCCUGAUUUUGGUGGCAGUGGUUUGGGGAGGAUUGUUUGAUAGUUCUGCUCGAGAGGCAAAAUGAGGGGCCUUAUUAUAGAAAGUGCAGAGGUUGUGCAGUAGCUGAGUUCUGUUGCAAAGUUUGCCGAUAAGGGAAAACUGGCCCUUGAGCAUCCAUUCUAUUCUGUAUAUUAACACUUCUAAUCUGCACUGCUGAUAAAACUGCAAGCCAUUUGCCUUUGGAGGAAUUAGUUCUGCCUCACUUGUGUAACCAGGCGAUGGUGAUUAACCUUUAAACUGUCCAAUAUUCUCAGCAGACUCCUGCUCCAGAUUAGAAACUAUUUAGUUAUGACCAACUAAAUUAACAACAUUCCCUCCUCUGAAGAAUAAGAUUUGGAAGGUAUGCAUUUUAAGGUGGAAUGUGUCCAAUGUCCUUAUUUAUACAGAGCUUUUGCAACAUGAAAUGCAUUUGUCAUUUAAGAAGAAACGGGAAGGAGAAAGCGAGAUUGAUUUCAGGUUGAAACAAUCUACAAUUAGUUGUAUCCAGGCAGAUGUUUGCUUGAUUGUGGGUUAGGGUCCUACUUUAGAUGGCUUAAACCUGAUUCUGACUUUUCAUUCCUAAAUAAAACUUACAGA